AAAUCGAUGCCAACUAUUAGUGAAAAUCCUGUUAAUGAAGACACCCUAUCUAACAUGAUGCUUCCCGGGAACCAAAGCAGAAAAACAAACCCUAUAGAAGCAUUUAAGGGAAAUAACGAUUCCUCUGAUAAUAUCAGACUAAUCAAGGUUCAAGUAGGAAGGUUGUUACGCAUUUGAAAAGAUUGCCAGAAAAGACAGGAUCCAAAGAAAAGUGCAGUCAACAUAGCUCACAGGAUGCAACUGUAGUGAAUGGCUUAAUGGAAAGUACAAUGAC